CAGCAGGUGGCUAGUUCCAGGGUACAUGGGAGCUGCAGACUUCACCUCAAAGCAUUAUGAGUUUAUAGGCAGUGUCAUCCCUUUUAUAAAGCUGAGACCUGGAGGGAGAAGGAGCUGCUCCACCAAAGGACUACAAAAGAAGCCUUGUAAGGAAUUGGGCAACCAGUAGGAAGAGCCCAUUGGGGAGAGGAAAGUUGGUCUGUAUUGGGACUUUAAGAGCCCUUGAGUGCGGCAAAGAUGAAGAAAGAGACCUUGGGUGAAGAAGCAGUGUGGGCUUGAGGUCACAAGUAGAUACCUGCUUCAUUCCAGGUGCCCAACAACAGAUCUUUCGAUGGAAGGCAGGACCGAGGUCAUUCUAUCUGCUACAUGAGUAUAAGAAAGCUGUGCAGAAAUCAAAGACCUGCAGAAGUUUAGACAGACUUUUUAAGUUACAGUUGGACAUAAUGAAGGGAAGCCUAUGAAAGAAAAUGGCACUGUAUGGGGCUUGUACUUGUGGCUAAAUCGGCACGGCUGUGAUCGAUGCAGUGGUGUCAAUAUAGCGGGUCUGAUGAAGACAAACUAAGUCGAUGGCAGAGUGCUCUCCCAUCAACCUCUGUUCUCCACCUCCCCGAUGGAAGAACUAAGAAGACACUUGCCAGUUGUUACCCUAAUCAUUUUGGGCCCCGAUCUGCAAUGUGCUCCGUUCUUCAUUCAGACUCCAAGCAGGCAUGGAAUAAUUUAAAGGAUCAGCGCUUUUGCUUGUCUAUUGUGUCCUUUUCCCCUCUUUCCUCAUUUUGUGCCCUGUCACAAAGCACUCACAAUCAAGAAAAAAAAAAGAUACAAAGUGUGUGUGUGUGUGUGUGUGUGCGCGUGCGCACAGCACGCAGCAUACUGUGGGCACCACGCCAGUACGAAUAGUAUCUAAUAAUUAAAACAACUUCAUUUACAUAUCAGGGAGCUAUUUAGAUAUCCGCCUGUCUUACAAUGAGCACGUAAGAUUUUCACUAGUCUUUCAGAAGAAUGUCCUAUAUUGG